rnacentral:rRNA from 1 species
GCUUGUCUCAAAGAUUAAGCCAUGCAUGUCUAAGUAUAACUCUUUUACUUUGAAAACUGCGAACGGCUCAUUAUAUCAGUUAUAGUUUCUUUGAUAGUCCCUUACUACUUGGAUACCCGUAGUAAUUCUAGAGCUAAUACAUGCUAAAAACCCCGACUUCGGGAGGGGUGUAUUUAUUAGAUAAAAAACCAAUGCCCCUCGGGGCUCCUUGGUGAAUCAUAAUAACUUAACGAAUCGCAUGGCCUUGCGCCGGCGAUGGUUCAUUCAAAUUUCUGCCCUAUCAACUUUCGAUGGUAGGAUAGUGGCCUACCAUGGUGGCAACGGGUAACGGGGAAUUAGGGUUCGAUUCCGGAGAGGGAGCCUGAGAAACGGCUACCACAUCCAAGGAAGGCAGCAGG